rnacentral:lncRNA from 1 species
GUGGAGCACGUCCUGAACGUGUUCAGAGGAAGAACGCUUGCGCAUUAGAAUUUUGGCUGUUCGCGGUGUUGAAAAAUCCUCCUCUGAAUAAAAAGUUCUCUGUUCGCGGAGCGCAACAACUUGUCCUGAACGUAUUCGGAAUGCGUUCAACAAGUUCUGGGAUUAAAGAGAGGAUUUAUUGUCCGCACAUGUGCAGAAGUUGAUUUGACGAAUUUAUUUAUUUUCGAGAUUCGAGAUUGUAUUUCUAACCUAACAAGUUUAAAAUUUUGAAUUGUUGUGUUAUCAUACAAAUGUUGUAAAAGAUGAUGAACCUCAGUUCAAGUGAUGAAGAUUUGGAAGAGAUUGUAGGACUUUUAAAUGUUCCAAAAAAUGCAAAUUUUUUUGAGGAAACUGUGCAACAAUUUAAUAACCAACAAUUUAUACAGAAUUUUAGAUUAAGUAGAGACUUAGCUGUAGAUUUGGCAAAUAAGUAUGAAAGAUCUCAUUUCCACAAUAUUAUGUAAAAUUACUUUUCCUGUU